rnacentral:rRNA from 1 species
AGCAGCCAUCAUUUAAAGAAAGCGUAAUAGCUCACUGGUCGAGUCGGCCUGCGCGGAAGAUGUAACGGGGCUAAGCGAUACACCGAAGCUGCGGCAAUGGCUGCAUCACUUAAAGCUAUUGGAUUGACGUUAUGCGCGAAGCGCGUGGUUAAUAACGUCAAAGCGUCCAACAAUGGUUGAGGCGAAUAAAGAUAGUGGCUUUAAGGAUGCAGCUAUUGGGUAGGGGAGCGUUGUGUAAGCUGUUGAAGGUGUGCUGAGAGGCAUGCUGGAGGUAUCACAAGUGCGAAUGCUGACAUGAGUAACGAUAAAGGG